GAUAAAUUCAGCAGUUCCCCUCUGCUGGGUAGUGAAUUGCAAAGCAAAAACUCAACCUUGAGCACAAAGGAGCUUUCAAAGGAAAUCCGGGACCAAGUUCUGGAAAGGCACAGAUCAGUGGAUGGGUAUAAAAAGAUUUCAAAGGCCUUGAAUAUCUCUCAGAGCACGGUCAAGACUAUUGUUAAGAAGUGGAAAGUGUAUGGCACCACCGAUACCCUGCGGAGCUCAGGCCGUCCCUCCAAACUGGAUGACCGAGCAAGCAGGAGACUGAUUAGAGUGGUUACCAAGAGUCAAAUGGAAACUUUCAAAGAGCUCCAGGCUUUUAAGGCCGAGACUGGUCAAAGUGUGCAUGUGACAACAAUAUUCCAAGCACUCCACAAAUGUUGCAUGUAUGGUAGUGUGGCAAGAAGGAAUCCAUUACUCAGGAAAGCCCACUUGGAAUCGCAUUUGAAGUAUGUAAAAAAAAACACUUGAUUCUGUAGCCUCGUGGCAAAAAGUGUAGUGUUCUGACGAAACAGAAAUGUAACUGUUUGACCUGAAUGUAAAGCGAUACGUUUGGAGCAAAGGCAACACAUCACCCAAAGAACACUCAUCCCUACUGUGAAGCAUGGAGGUAGCAGCAUCAUGUUAUGGGGAUGUUUCUCAUCGCCAGGGAAUUAUCAGGAUAGAAGUGGAAAUGAAUGGAGCAAUGUACAGAAAAGUCCUAGAGGAAAACCUGCUACGCGCUCUGCAAGAAAGCUGGAACUGGGACAGCAUUUCACCUUUCAGCAUGACAACAACCCAAUGCACACGGCCAAAGCUACAGUGGAGUGGCUAAGGAAUAAAAAGUUUGUUGACAGACUCUCAUCUGACAGAGGUUGAUGGUGAAGAUGGCGUGAGAUCUGGAACUAGAUGCGUUCAUCUGGGUACUGGCCGUGGUACGAGACAACGCUCCCAGCUUCAGACACUGUAACAGCUGUAAUACACAAACUGUUAGUACUGUACACACUAGGGCUGGGCAAUACAUCACAUUUGAAUGUAUGUUUUAGCGCAAUAUUCCAAAUGCCUGUUUCGCAAUAACCUAGUUUUUAUUAAAUGUUUCGUUUUUUUACGAGCAUUUAUGUCC